rnacentral:rRNA from 1 species
UACGGGGGGGGCAAGCGUUGUUCGGAAUUACUGGGCGUAAAGGGCUCGUAGGCGGCCAACUAAGUCAGACGUGAUAUCCCCAGGCUUAACCUGGGAACUGCGUCUGAUACUGGAUGGCUUGAAUUCGGGAGAGGGAUGCAGAAUUCCAGGUGUAGCGGUGAAAUGCGUAGAUAUCUGGAGGAAUACCGGUGGCGAAGGCGGCAUCCUGGACCGACAUUGACGCUGAGGAGCGAAAGCUAGGGGAGCAAACGGG